GCCGGGUGUGGUGGUGCGCACCUGUAGUCCCAGCUACUCAGGAGGCUGAGGCAGAAGAACCGCUUGAACCCGGGAGGUGGAGUGAGCAGUGAGCCGAGAUCGUGCCACUGCACUCCAGCCUGGGGGACAGAGUGAGACUCUGUCUCAA
rfam:Homo sapiens chromosome 17, GRCh38 reference primary assembly.